GAUCUGGCUCAGGAUGAACGCUAGCGGCAGGCCUAACACAUGCAAGUCGAGGGGCAUCGGGAUUGAAGCUUGCUUCAAUUGCCGGCGACCGGCGCACGGGUGCGUAACGCGUAUGUAACCUACCUAUAACAGGGGCAUAACACUGAGAAAUUGGUACUAAUUCCCCAUAAUAUUCGGAGAGGCAUCUCUCCGGGUUGAAAACUCCGGUGGUUAUAGAUGGACAUGCGUUGUAUUAGCUAGUUGG
rnacentral:rRNA from 1 species